GCAAGUCGAGCGAGAUCUUCGGAUCUAGCGGCGGACGGGUGAGUAACGCGUGAGAAACCUGCCCUCAAGCUGGGGAUAGCCCGCCUAACGGCGGAUUAAUACCGAAUACUGAUUUGUGCUUCAUGGUACAUUAUCUAAAGCCUUCGGGCACUUGAGGAUGGUCUCGCGUGAGAUUAGCUAGUUGGUGAGGUAGUGGCUCACCAAGGCAACGAUCUCUAGCCGGCCUGAGAGGGCGAUC
rnacentral:rRNA from 1 species